rnacentral:misc_RNA from 1 species
GAUGAAGAACGUAGCGAAAUGCGAUAAGUAAUGUGAAUUGCAGAAUUCAGUGAAUCAUCGAAUCUUUGAACGCACAUUGCGCCCCCUGGUAUUCCGGGGGGCAUGCCUGUCCGAGCGUCAUUACAACCCUCAAGCUCAGCUUGGUGUUGGGCCCCGCCGCCCCGGCGGGCCCUAAAGUCAGUGGCGGUGCCGUCCGGCUCCGAGCGUAGUAAUUCUUCUCGCUCUGGAGGUCCGGUCGUGUGCUCGCCAGCAACCUCCAAUUUUUUUCAGGUUGACCUCGGAUCAGGUAGGGAUACCCGCUGAACUUAAGCAUAUCAAUAAGCGGAGGA